rnacentral:rRNA from 1 species
CCCUUAGAUGUUCUGGGCCGCACGCGUGCUACACUGAACGGAUCAACGGGUGAGAUACUGCGAAAGCAGAAUCCAAUCUCUAAAUCCGUUCGUGCUGGGGAUAGAAGCUUGCAAUUCUCCUUCUUGAACGAGGAAUACCUUGUAAGCGUGAGUCAUCAUCUCGCGCUGAAUACGUCCCUGCCCUUUGUACACACCGCCCGUCGCUCCUACCGAUUGAAUGGUCCGGUGAAGCCUCCGGAUUGGCGCGCACCUCGGUGCCGCCGAGAAGUUGGCUAAACCUUACCAUUUAGAGGAAGGUGAAGUCGUAACA